UUGUUUGUAGGUGCAGCACCAUCAAGAUUCACAUGAAAAUUGAUAAAUCUCCUAAAUUAGGGUUUUGAUAUGUAUAUGAGAAUCUUGAUGAUGCUGCAUCAACAAUCGA
rfam:Arabidopsis lyrata subsp. lyrata unplaced genomic scaffold ARALYscaffold_6, whole genome shotgun sequence.